GAUGAACGCUGGCGGCGUGCCUAAUACAUGCAAGUCGAGCGAACAGACGAGGAGCUUGCUCCUCUGACGUUAGCGGCGGACGGGUGAGUAACACGUGGAUAACCUACCUAUAAGACUGGGAUAACUUCGGGAAACCGGAGCUAAUACCGGAUAAUAUAUUGAACCGCAUGGUUCAAUAGUGAAAGACGGUUUUGCUGUCACUUAUAGAUGGAUCCGCGCCGCAUUAGCUAGUUGGUAAGGUAACGGCUUACCAAGGCGACGAUGCGUAGCCGACCUGAGAGGGUGAUCGGCCACACUGGACCUGAGACACGGUCCAGCCUCCUACGGGAGGCAGCAGUAGGGAAUCUUCCGCAAUGGGCGAAAGCCUGACGGAGCAACGCCGCGUGAGUGAUGAAGGUCUUCGGAUCGUAAAACUCUGUUAUUAGGGAAGAACAAAUGUGUAAGUAACUAUGCACGUCUUGACGGUACCUAAGCAGAAAGCCACGGCUAACUACGU
rnacentral:rRNA from 1 species